GUUAAACCCGGGCCAGCAGCGGCGGUAAUAAGAAGAGUCCAAGCGUUAUCCGGAAUCAUUGGGUUUAAAGGGUCCGUAGGCGGCCUUAUAAGUCAGCGGUGAAAGUUUUUGGCUUAACCAAAAAAUUGCCAUUGAUACUGUAGGGCUUGAAUAUUUGUGAAGUAACUAGAAUAUGUAGUGUAGCGGUGAAAUGCUUAGAUAUUACAUGGAAUACCAAUUGCGAAGGCAGGUUACUAACAAAUGAUUGACGCUGAUGGACGAAAGCGUGGGUAGCGAACAGGAUUAGAUACCCUAGUAGUC
rnacentral:rRNA from 1 species